rnacentral:lncRNA from 1 species
AUAUAUAUGAGUCAGGAUCCGUUGACACCAACUAGUUUGACACCAAAUGUUACACCUCUCAAUAACGUUUUAACCGAUAUAAAUUUUAUAAAAUCCACCGUUGGAUUGAAAGUUUACAUCAUAUAGAUCAUUUGUGUAAAAUUUCAAAUAAAUCCAAAAUCAUUUGAUAUGUUAUUGAGAUACAUCAAAAUUAACGGUUUUUGUAUUUUUUUAAAUGCCGUUAAUC